GACGAACCGUGCAAACGUUAUUCGGAAUCACUGGGCAUAAAGGGCGCGUAGGCGGCUUUCUAAGUCAGGGGUGAAAUCCGGCAGCUCAACUGUCGCAGUGCCUUUGAUACUGGAGAGCUCGAGGGAGGUAGGGGUCUGUGGAACUUCCGGUGGAGCGGUGAAAUGCGUUGAUAUCGGAAGGAACGCCGGUGGCGAAAGCGACGGACUGGAUCGCUUCUGACGCUGAGGCGCGAAAGCCAGGGGAGCAAACGGG
rnacentral:rRNA from 1 species